rnacentral:rRNA from 1 species
CCUACGGGAGGCUGCAGUGGGGAAUAUUGCUCAAUGGGCGAAAGCCUGACGCAGCGACGCCGCGUGAGGGAUGAAGGUCUUCGGAUCGUAAACCUCUGUCAGCAGGGAAGAACGGUCCCUGUGCUAAUCAGCAGUGAAUUUACGUUACCUGCAAAGGUAGCAUCGGCUAACGCCGGCCCAGCAGCCGCCGUAAUACGUAGGGUGCGAGCGUUAAUUGGAAUUACUGGGCGUAAAGCGCUCUGAGGCGGUAUGUCAAGUCAAGGGUGAAAUCCCCGCGCUCAACGUGGGAACUGCCUUUGAAACUGGCAAACUGGAGUGUGUGAGAGGAUAGUGGAAUGCGAGGUGUAGGAGUGAAAUCCGUAGAUAUC